UACAGAGGGUGCAAGCGUUGUUCGGAAUUAUUGGGCGUAAAGGGCGCGUAGGCGGUUCGGCAAGUCUCUAGUGAAAUCUCUGGGCUCAACUCAGAGUCUGCUGGGGAAACUGCCGGGCUUGAGUGUGGGAGAGGAGAGUGGAAUUCCCGGUGUAGCGGUGAAAUGCGUAGAUAUCGGGAGGAAUACCGAUGGCGAAGGCAGGUCUCUGGGCUAUAACUGACGCUCAUGCACGAAAGCGUGGGGAGCAAACAGG
rnacentral:rRNA from 1 species